rnacentral:ribozyme from 1 species
AAAAAAAAAAAAAAAGUCCAAAAAAACAUGAAAAAAAGUCCAAAAAAGUCUGAUUAUUCAAAGAUUAUUGUUCUUAUUUUUUUU